rnacentral:rRNA from 1 species
UAGGGAAUCUUCGGCAAUGGGGGCAACCCUGACCGAGCAACGCCGCGUGAGUGAAGAAGGUUUUCGGAUCGUAAAGCUCUGUUGUAAGAGAAGAACGUGGGUGAGAGUGGAAAGUUCACACAGUGACGGUAACUUACCAGAAAGGGACGGCUAACUACGUGCCAGCAGCCGCGGUAAUACGUAGGUCCCGAGCGUUGUCCGGAUUUAUUGGGCGUAAAGCGAGCGCAGGCGGUUUAAUAAGUCUGAAGUUAAAGGCAGUGGCUUAACCAUUGUUCGCUUUGGAAACUGUUAAACUUGAGUGCAGAAGGGGAGAGUGGAAUUCCAUGUGUAGCGGUUAAAUGCGUAGAUAUAUGGAGGAACACCGGUGGCGAAAGCGGCUCUCUGGUCUGAAACUGACGCUGAGGCUCGAAAGCGUGGGGAGCAAACAGG